AUUGAACGCUGGCGGCAUGCCUUACACAUGCAAGUCGAACGGUAACAGGUCUUCGGAUGCUGACGAGUGGCGAACGGGUGAGUAAUACAUCGGAACGUGCCCGAUCGUGGGGGAUAACGAAGCGAAAGCUUUGCUAAUACCGCAUAAGAUCUACGGAUGAAAGCAGGGGGCCGCAAGGCCUUGCGCGAACGGAGCGGCCGAUGGCAGAUUAGGUAGUGGGUGGGAUAAAAGCUUACCAAGCCGACGAUCUGUAGCGGGUCUGCAAGGACGACCCGCCACACUGGGACUGAGACACGGCCCAGACUCCUACGGGAGGAAGCAGUGGGGAAUUUUGGACAAUGGGCGAAAGCCUGAUCCAGCCAUGCCGCGUGCAGGAUGAAGGCCUUCGGGUUGUAAACUGCUUUUGUACAGAACGAAAAGACUCUUUCUAAUAAAGAGGGUCCAUGACGGUACCGUAAGAAUAAGCACCGGCUAACUACGUGCCAGCCGCCGCCGUAACAC
rnacentral:rRNA from 1 species